ACCAGAGAUUCAGUGAAAUUGUAGUGGAGGUGAAAAUUCCUCCUACCCGCGGCAAGACGGAAAGACCCCGUGGACCUUUACUACAACUUAGCACUGCUAACGGGAAUACCAUGCGCAGGAUAGGUGGGAGGCUUUGAAGUAGGGGCUUUGGCUCUUAUGGAGCCAUCCUUGAGAUACCACCCUUGAUGUUUCUGUUAGCUA
rnacentral:rRNA from 1 species